AGAGUUUGAUCCUGGCUCAGGACGAACGCUGGCGGUGUGCUUCACACAUGCAAGUCGAACGAGGUAGCAAUACCUAGUGGCGGACGGGUGAGUAACGCGUGGGAAUCUGCCUUUAGAUGGGGGAUAACGAGCCGAAAGGUUCGCUAAUACCGCAUAUGCCGCAAGGUGAAAGGAGUAAUCCGUCUAAAGAUGAGCCCGCGUCCGAUUAGCUAGUUGGUGGGGUAAAGGCCUACCAAGGCGACGAUCGGUAGCUGGUCUGAGAGGAUGAUCAGCCACAAUGGGACUGAGACACGGCCCAUACUCCUACGGGAGGCAGCAGUGGGGAAUUUUACGCAAUGGGGGAAACCCUGACGUAGCGACACCGCGUGAGCGAAGAAGCCCCUUGGGGUGUAAAGCUCUGUCAGCUGGAACGAAACAAAUGACGGUACCAGCAGUGGAAGCAUCGGCUAACUACGUGCCAGCAGCCGCGGUAAGACGUAGGAUGCAAGCGUUGUCCGGAUUUAUUGGGCGUAAAGAGUUCGUAGGCGGUUAUUUAAGUCUGAUGUUAAAUACUGUGGCCCAACCACAGAACUGCAUUGGAUACUGGAUGACUUGGGUGCGGUAGAGGCAAGUGGAAUUCCCAGUGUAGCGGUGAAAUGCGUAGA
rnacentral:rRNA from 1 species